rnacentral:rRNA from 1 species
CCUACGGGCGACAGCAGUGAGGAAUAUUGGUCAAUGGCCGGAAGGCUGAACCAGCCAAGCCGCGUGAAGGACGAAGGUGCCAAGCAUUGUAAACUUCUUUUGUCAAGGGACAAAAUCAGGCUCGAGAGCCUGACCGAGGGUACUUGAAGAAAAAGCAUCGGCUAACUCCGUGCCAGCAGCCGCGGUAAUACGGAGGAUGCGAGCGUUAUCCGGAUUUAUUGGGUUUAAAGGGGGCGCAGACGGCAAUGCAAGCCAGGAGUGAAAGCCCGGGGCCCAACCCCGGGACUGCUCUUGGAACUGCAUGGCUGGAGUACAGGAGGGGCAGGCGGAAUUCCUAGUGUAGCGGUGAAAUGCGUAGAUAUUAGGAGGAACACCGGUGGCGAAGGCGGCCUGCUGGACUGUGACUGACGUUGAGGCCCGAAGGCGUGGGGAGCAAACAGGAUUAGAUACCCGAGUAGUC